CUCCUAAAAUGUUCUUCUCAAGGGAAAAUCAACUGACAAUUCGAUUCAGUCAACGCACACUGCCAAUGCUUUUUCCGCUGCAUCUGUGGAGGCGCACGUGUACGGUUAUCGCACAUUUGCAGCGGCAAGUGCCAGUCUUCCUCUCCCUCAACUUUCAAUUUCUGAGACCACUUUCGCGCGGGACCAGCAACGGCAGACAGGCCACAGCGGGUGGGGCUGCAACGGAAGGCACAUGAAUCCGUGCCAAGUAAGCAACAGCAUCACAUCAAAAGAGCCACUAUUCCGGCUAUAUCCUGGGUAUUAUAUGGAGUUUACUCUUUCUGAGAAAUAAUUUCCCCCAUCUUGAUUGCCUUUUUCUUCAGCUGGUCUCGCUUGGGCAGCAGCCUGGACUGAAUGGCAGGACUGGCCAACCUGGCUGAUAGGUUUGGAUGGCUGCAAUUGCAGCCCGUAAACAAGUUGUUUACCAUCAUUUUGGUCCUGUCCUCCUCCAUUGAUUGCGGUGGUUCAUUAUUGGCACCGCCCGACAGCUACGCCCUGGGGGGAUAUGGUUUUAUCUCUUUCUUAUCUCUUGCUCCAGUGAAAAGUUAAACAUCUUAAAAUAUUUAACCCUUGCGAAGUGGACAGAUGCUUCACCGAGAAUUUUGAAGAUAGGAUAUAUACUACUCAAAAAUAUGUACUACUCUUCCUCUGCAUAACAUCUGGUGUAUGUUUAUGAAUAGCUAAACAAGCCUGACCCUUUACCAUCUCCGCCCAGCUCUAAAUAAAUGUAAUUUAAGUUAUUAUGUGGACCAUAGAUCACGGCCAUAGACGUAGAGGCAAAACACGUCACAUGGCUGCGCCGGGCAGCUCCAUCCAAAGCUGUCCACCUGUCCAGCUGUCUAGCGGUCUAUAAUUACACUCACUCAAACCAGAACGAGUGUAGAGCGUGGCGGAACCUGGAAUUUGCCACCCGGUUAUUCAAUUUGUAUGCGACAGGCGGAAAUUUUCAGAUAACGGCUGGCGGUUGGGGUGGGCCGUGCGGAUAUUUGGACAGCAUAUCUUGUUUAUAUUUUGUUGCAGCUUCCGAUAUAUUUGUAUUUAUGUGUUUUUCGUGCAUCAAUGCAUCAAUGCAACAAAAUGUGGCAAUAUUUCUGCGGAAUCCCCUGGUAUGGAUUCACGGAAUAUUUCGCAUGACUUUUUUCCAGGCUUACGAAUAAUAACCAUUCAGAAAUCUGCAUUCCGAUGGGAAUACCAACUGUCAUUGGUAAAAAUAAUCGAGAGUCGAAGCUAUAACCCUUUUCCCACUUCAUUUUUGGUGGUGUCUGGAACUAAAUAAAAGUUUUGAUUGAGGUGCAAAUUGAGGGCCAUUUGAGGAUAAAUUCAGCAGCAUAUUGAACACUUUCCGUAAAUUGACAAAGGAUUCAAGCAGGGACUAGCCAAAGCGGAGUGCUGACAGAUUUCUGAAGACCUUUGUCCGGAGAAACGCUUUGUUCGACAAGAAAAUAAAAGAAAAACCAACCAAAUGGCAUUUAAUUUUUCAUCUCUG